AAAAAGCACCCCCUGCCAGGGAAGUUAUCUUAUUGUUGCCCACCUGCCAUUACACCACCGAACCAUAAAAGCGUUCGCCACAAGGGACAGACGGAACUAUUUCGUACGCUCAAGGUUUCACCAACAUGUCGGAGAAUCCGUUCGGGAACCAAUGCAAACAUUUUAUCGAUCACCAGCUGCUGUUUGGGUGGUAGGUCUCAGCAACCGCCGGUUUCGUUUCAAUUUACACUAGACAGCCAAAACCUCAGCUAGGAAAAUGCCAAAUAUGCCGACUAUUUCGUGUGUGUGUGUGUGUCUUGUUUGUUCCGCUGUCUCUACACGAACAGCGAUUCAAGUGCAACUCAGACAACAUGGUGUUGAAAAAAAAGUAGCCGGCAAAAGAAUGAACCGUAAUUAAACGGUGCGCGGAAAUAAAAACCCCAAAAGCGCUGCGUGUGCACGCGUGGUAUAUGGGGCUAAAUUGAGUUCCCCCCCCCCCCUCGCUUCGCAUUUCCCACGCGGUAGGUGGAAAACAGGAAAAAGGAAAUAAACAAAUGCCGUCCGUAUCGAUCCAGUUCGGUGGAAGGUAGCGAAAAUUAAAAUUCAUCCCGUACAGCGCUCCGCAGCGAUCGUGUCCACAUGCGUGUUUUUGUGGAGCACUCAAUGAGUGCUCCAAGGGGGGGGGAAGGGGGGGGGGAAACGGGAGUGAGUGCCUACCAAACGGCGAACACAUUGCCGCGAAUUUUAUUUAUUUUGAAUUUUCUUUUAAUAGUACAACAUUUAUCGGCUUUGCAGCAGAAGAUGCUGAGCUGCUGAUCAAGCUGCUGGUUUGGUAGAUUUAAUGGUAAGGGGAGUUGCGAUCGGUUUACGAUUGAUUUAUUUUGCUUUGUUUUUUUAAUCAAGAAAUGUUUACAUGCUGACACAAAACGUUGAAAGUUUGAAUGAAUAAAAAUGGAGAACAAAAAAAAGAAGCGGAUCCCGGUUAUUUGCUUACAUUUUAGCAACGACGAUCAUAAACGUUUACGCCUGUCAAAUAUGGUCUGCAGGAGCAGACAAAAAGCAGUCAUUUUAUGACCGGCCUGCCCGAGCAACGCCCUGGAUCGUCUAGAAGAAAAUAUUUUAUUUUUAUCAAUAACGAAACGUCGAUCAAACGAUCAACCUCAACAGGAAGCGCGAGAAAAUGGGACGUGUCGAUAUUUUUGUAAACACAGCGUGACACAGCCCGACAGCCGGCAUUGAUUGGUGGCCAAAAAGGGCCGACUUUGAGCUCACCAAAAAAAAAAAA